UACAUGUGGGGCAAGCGUUGUUCGGAAUUACUGGGCGGAAAGCGCAUGUAGGCGGCAGCGCAAGUCGGGCGUGAAAUCCCACGGCUCAACCGUGGAAGUGCACUCGAAACUGCGCAGCUAGAGUCCUGGAGAGGAAGGUGGAAUGCUUGGUGUAGAGGUGAAAUUCGUAGAUAUCAAGCGGAACACCGGUGGCGAAGGCGGCCUUCUGGACAGUGACUGACGCUGAGAUGCGAAAGCGUGGGGAGCAAACAGG
rnacentral:rRNA from 1 species